GGGAUGCGCAUGCGCACACAGAUCGCGCGAGCCUUGAACUUUCUAAGGGAAAAAAAAACUUUCUCGCCGACGGUGCCAGUGGAUAACAGUCUUCAGUACCUGCUGGUCUUUAAAGGAUUCUGGAUUUCUGGACUGUUGGAAAAGAUCAUGGCUCAGCAGUGGACUGUUGGAGAAGUAUCUCUUUGGCUUGGGGAAAAUGAAUUGGGAGAUUAUCAACAGGUCUUUGUAGUGGAAGGCAACACAAAGAAAAGCAUACUGUGCCAGCACUCCAACCUAUGUUUAACUGCAAAGUGCAGUUUCCUCCAGCUGUGCUCACUGCGUUGACCAAUAAAGAUGCAGCACUAAAGUCACCCACCAAGAACAGACUCAAAAACAUGCUUAUUCAAGCACUGUUUGACCACUUGAGUAAUGAGACAAUGUAUCCCUCUCAUGUGCAGUAUGUAGAGCUUCUGAGGACUGUCCUUCUGAGUUUUCCUUUUUUGAAGGAGAGUUAUGGCUCUGGAUAUGAUGCUCUGCAUGAGUCUCUCAGGAACAAGUUUAAAAAGGAAAGAAGACCACUAGUAGACAUAGAGGAAAUUGAAAAAAUGAGACAGAAAUACUCAGUUCCAAAUUCAGGAAGAAAAAGAUCAUCAGAUGUCCAGCCCUGUAUCCUUUUGAAAAAAACCAAG
ensembl:lncRNA